GCCGCGUGGAGGAUGACGCAUUUCGGUGUGUAAACUCCUUUUAUAUCCCAAGAUAAUGACGGUAGGAUAUGAAUAAGCACCGGCUAACUCCGUGCCAGCAGCCGCGGUAAUACGGAGGGUGCAAGCGUUACUCGGAAUCACUGGGCGUAAAGGAUGCGUAGGCGGAUGAUCAAGUCAAAAGUGAAAUCCUACAGCUCAACUGUAGAACUGCUUUCGAAACUGGUUAUCUAGAAUAUGGAAGAGGCAGAUGGAAUUAGUGGUGUAGGGGUAAAAUCCGUAGAGAUCACUAGGAAUACCGAUUGCGAAGGCGAUCUGCUGGGACA
rnacentral:rRNA from 1 species